rnacentral:lncRNA from 1 species
CUUCAAGAAAGACCUCCAGGUAAAUGAUGGCUUUUAAUAAGACACAUGGCAAUCUCAAUUAUGAGAAUCAUUAUUGUGUACCCUGUGUGCCAUUUUAUGUUCCCAGCAGGAUACCUUUUUUUUUCUCUCAUGAAGAAUUUCCAGGGCUGUCUACUGUCUACUGUGUAAAGUACAUUGAGUGUUUCCCCGAAGCUGCACUAUUCAAAGAAAAAAAAAAAAAAGCUAAACACACAGCAACAACAACAAAAACUUUCUCAAGUGGUCAGACAAACUGGAACUAUUGGAUUAUAGUCCUGAAUUUUAACCAGAACAAAGAGAUUUUCUCCAAGGAAAAGAAGUGCUGCUUUCACGACUGAGAAGAAAGACUUUCCAGGCUUGACAACAGCAGUCGAAGUAGAGAAAAAGGCUACGCAGCUAUGACUGAGGGCUUAAUUUUCCCAGGUGGGUAACACAGAAAUUGUAGUGACUAUGGCCAGUUUUUAGUGACUAAACAACGCUUUACUUUCCUCUAGCCAGCUUUGCUCAACAGUGGCGUUCUUGUUAACUUUGACCAGGUGAUUCCUUGUCAUGCAGAUUCCCUAUGUGUCGAAGGAUUUCUAUCACCAUCCUUGACUCUCCGAAGCAGGUGGCAUUAGCUCCUAACCCUACCAUGUUGAUACCCAGACAUUGCCUAUGCCCUUGAGAGAAC